CUACGGGGCGCUCCAGUGGGGAAUAUUGCACAAUGGGCGCAAGCCUGAUGCAGCCAUGCCGCGUGUAUGAAGAAGGCCUUCGGGUUGUAAAGUACUUUCAGCGGGGAGGAAGGGAGUAAAGUUAAUACCUUUGCUCGUUGACGUUACCCGCAGAAGAAGCACCGGCUAACUCCGUGCCAGCAGCCGCGGUAAUACGGAGGGUGCAAGCGUUAAUCGGAAUUACUGGGCGUAAAGCGCACGCAGGCGGUUUGUUAAGUCAGAUGUGAAAUCCCCGGGCUCAACCUGGGAACUGCAUCUGAUACUGGCAAGCGUGAGUCUCGUAGAGGGGGGUAGAAUUCCAGAUGUAGCGGUGAAAUGCGUAGAGAUCUGGAGGAAUACCGGUGGCGAAGGCGGCCCCCUGGACGAAGACUGACGCUCAGGUGCGAAAGCGUGGGGAGCAAACAGGAUUAGAUACCCCAGUAGUC
rnacentral:rRNA from 1 species